UACAGAGGUCUCAAGCGUUGUUCGGAUUCAUUGGGCGUAAAGGGUGUGUAGGUGGCGCCGUAAGUCGGGUGUGAAAUUUCGGAGCUUAACUCCGAAACUGCAUUCGAUACUGCGGUGCUUGAGGACUGGAGAGGAGACUGGAAUUCAUGGUGUAGCAGUGAAAUGCGUAGAGAUCAUGAGGAAGACCAGUGGCGAAGGCGGGUCUCUGGACAGUACCUGACACUGAGACACGAAGGCCAGGGGAGCAAACGAG
rnacentral:rRNA from 1 species